GACGAACGCUGGCGGCGUGCCUAAUACAUGCAAGUCGAGCGGACAGAAGGGAGCUUGCUCCCGGAUGUUAGCGGCGGACGGGUGAGUAACACGUGGGUAACCUGCCUGUAAGACUGGGAUAACUCCGGGAAACCGGAGCUAAUACCGGAUAGUUCCUUGAACCGCAUGGUUCAAGGAUGAAAGACGGUUUCGGCUGUCACUUACAGAUGGACCCGCGGCGCAUUAGCUAGUUGGUGGGGUAAUGGCUCACCAAGGCGACGAUGCGUAGCCGACCUGGGAGGGUGGUCGGCCACACUGGGACUGAGACACGGCCCAGACUCCUACGGGAGGCAGCAGUAGGGAAUCUUCCGCAAUGGACGAAAGUCUGACGGAGCAACGCCGCGUGAGUGAUGAAGGUUUUCGGAUCGUAAAGCUCUGUUGUUAGGGAAGAACAAGUGCGAGAGUAACUGCUCGCACCUUGACGGUACCUAACCAGAAAGCCACGGCUAACUACGUGCCAGCAGCCGCAGUAA
rnacentral:rRNA from 1 species